GAGUGGUCGACCAAAUCCCGGGAACGUGCUGAUAGUCCCCUCUGCUGCAGCGAGAUAUUUCCUCUUUCCUGCAUCGCCUCACUGAGCAACCAGAGCUUCACAGAGAGAGAGGAGAGCGACCGGAAGGGCCAGCCGAUACGCGAUGCAGAAACGCGCGUUGGUGGUGUGCGCGGCGGCCGCCGUGCUCGGCCUCGCCGCGGCCGUGCUGGGGUUCGCCGCGGAGCGUUUCAAGAACAAGGCAAGUUCUUAGCAAGCGGCACCCGUCUAACUAUCUGCUCCUACUCAAACUUUGCGUUCUUAUUCCCUUCUCCGUGUCUGCUGUAAUUAACCUGAUCGGAUCAUGAUUCAACCUCCCGGCGGCCGCGCAGGCUUUCGUGAGGUCCGACGUGUUCCGCUGCGAGUACCGGCGCACGCCGGCGCUGGGCUGCGGCGUCCUCGCCGCGCUGCUCUCGCUGGCCGCGGUGGCGCUCGUCACCGCCGCCAGCGGCUGCUUCGGCCGCUUCGGCGCUGCCGCGCUCCCGCCCGAGAGGCGGCGCGGCUGCGCCAGGAACGCGUGCGCGGCAGUCUCGUGGUACGCUGCCCUCCUCCUACACAGGCUAGAGGCUACGGCCCUCCGAUAGUCCGAUCACACGCUGCGCCGCGGAUCUACCAGCUUUGAUUAAUUCUUGCUGCCGAGCUGCAGGCUGUGGGUGCUGUCGGCGGCGGUGAGCUUCCUGUACGGCGCGUCGCGGAACGCGGGAGGGACGGGGGGAUUCACCGCGGUCAGGCGGCAGCCCGGGCAAAACGGCGGCGGCGGCGGCUUGGACUUCGUCUGCAACGAGCUCCGGGACGGGGUCUUCGCGUCGGCGUCCAUCCAGGCCGUCAUCGCCAUCGCCUGCGCCAUCACGGCCUACGUCGACGCCCUCCAGCAGAGGAACCGGACGCCGACGCUGGGCGUCGCGAUGGGGCAGCCAAACCAGGCUCCCGUGGCUUACCCGGCUCAACCUCCGU
rnacentral:lncRNA from 1 species